UUCCGGUUGAUCCCGCCGGAGGCUACCGCUAUUGGAGUUCGAUUAAGCCAUGCGAGUCGCGAGAAAUUAGAUUCUCGGCGUACCGCUCAGUAACACGUGGGUAACCUGCCCUAUGCUGGAUAAUAACCUCGGGAAACUGAGAAUAAUGAUCCAUAGUUCACUACGCCUGGAACGGUGAGUGGAUGAAAGCUCCGGCGGCAUAGGAUGGGCCUGCGGCGUAUCAGGUUGUAGGGGGUGUAACGUACCCUCUAGCCCUCUACGCGUACGGGUGUUGGGAGACAUAGCCCGGAGAUGGAUUCUGAGACACGAAUCCAGACCCUACGGGGUGCAGCAGGCGCGAAAACUUGGCAAUGCGAGAAAUCGUGACCAGGGAACUCCAAGUGCAUGGGGUAAGACCCAUGCUUUUCUUGACUCUAAAUAGGUCUUGGAAUAAGGGGUGGGUAAGGACGGUGCCAGCCGCCGCGGUAAUACCGGCGCCUCAAGUGGUAGUCGCUUUUAUUGGGCCUAAAACGUCCGUAGCCGGUCUGAUACAUUCGUGGGUAAAUCAACCAGCUUAACUGGUUGAAUUCUGCGAGGACGGUCAGACUUGGGACCGGGAGAGGUGUGGGGUACGCUCAGGGUAGGGGUAAAAUCCUGUCAUCCUGAGCGGACCACCUGUUGCGAGGCGCCACACUAGAACGGAUCCGACGGUCAGGGACGAAGCCUAGGGGCACGAACCGGAUUAGAUACCCGGGUAGUCCUAGGUGUAAACGCUGUGGACUUGAUGUUGGGGGUGCUCCGAGCACUCUCAGUGUCGAAGCGAAGGUGAUAAGUCCACUGCCUGGGAAGUACGGUCGCAAGGCUGAAACUUAAAGGAAUUGGCGGGGGAGCACCGCAACCUGAGGAUUGUGCGGUUUAAUUGGAGUCAACGCCGGA
rnacentral:rRNA from 1 species